rfam:Stegodyphus mimosarum contig12136, whole genome shotgun sequence.
GCCUUCGUGGUGUAAUGGUCAACAUACUCGGGGCGUAUUCGAGAGGUCCGAGGUUCGAGUCCUGGCAAGGGCA